rnacentral:rRNA from 1 species
CUACGGGGCGCUCCAGUGAGGAAUAUUGCACAAUGGGGGGAAGGCUGAUGCAGCAACGCCGCGUGGAGGAGGGCUCAUUUCUUUUUUUCCCCUCCUGGGGGAGGGAAAGAAAAUGACGGUAGCAUAUGAAUAAGCACCGGCUAACUCCGUGCCAGCAGCCGCGGGAAUACGGAGGGGCAAGCGUUACUCGGAAUCACUGGGCGUAAAGGACGCGUAGGCGGGUUGGAAAGUCAGGUGUGAAAUCCUACAGCUUAACUGUAGAACUGCACUUGAAACUUCUAAUCUAGAGUAUGGGAGGGGGAGAUGGAAUUAGUGGUGUAGGGGUAAAAUCCGUAGAUAUCACUAGGAAUACCUAAAGCGAAGGCGAUCUCCUGGAACAUUACUGACGCUAAGGCGUGAAAGCGUGGGGAGCAAACAGGAUUAGAUACCCUUGUAGUC